UACGGAGGAUCCAAGCGUUAUCCGGAUUUAUUGGGUUUAAAGGGUGCGUAGGCGGGUUUUUAAGUCAGUGGUGAAAGUUUGCAGCUCAACUGUAAAAUUGCCAUUGAAACUGAAGACCUUGAGUGUAAAUGAGGUAGGCGGAAUGUGUUGUGUAGCGGUGAAAUGCUUAGAUAUUACGCAGAACACCGAUUGCGAAGGCAGAUAACUGGGACGAUACUGACGCUGAGGCACGAAAGCGUGGGGAGCGAACAGG
rnacentral:rRNA from 1 species